AUGCGUAGGGUGCAAGCGUUAAUCGGAAUUACUGGGCGUAAAGCGUGCGCAGGCGGUUUUGUAAGACAGUGGUGAAAUCCCCGGGCUCAACCUGGGAACUGCCAUUGUGACUGCAAGGCUGGAGUGCGGCAGAGGGGGAUGGAAUUCCGCGUGUAGCAGGGAAAUGCGUAGAUAUGCGGAGGAACACCGAUGGCGAAGGCAAUCCCCUGGGCCUGCACUGACGCUCAUGCACGAAAGCGUGGGGAGCAAACAGGAUUAGAUACCCUGGUAGUCCACGCCCUAAACGAUGUCAACUGGUUGUUGGGGAUUUAUUUUCUCAGUAACGAAGCUAACGCGUGAAGUUGACCGCCUGGGGAGUACGGCCGCAAGGUUAAAACUCAAAUGAAUUGACGGGG
rnacentral:rRNA from 1 species